AUCGUAACAAGGUCUCCGUAGGUGAACCUGCGGAGGGAUCAUUACAAGAACGCCCGGGCUUCGGCCUGGUUAUUCAUAACCCUUUGUUGUCCGACUCUGUUGCCUCCGGGGCGACCCUGCCUUCGGGCGGGGGCUCCGGGUGGACACUUCAAACUCUUGCGUAACUUUGCAGUCUGAGUAAACUUAAUUAAUAAAUUAAAACUUUUAACAACGGAUCUCUUGGUUCUGGCAUCGAUGAAGAACGCAGCGAAAUGCGAUAAGUAAUGUGAAUUGCAGAAUUCAGUGAAUCAUCGAAUCUUUGAACGCACAUUGCGCCCCCUGGUAUUCCGGGGGGCAUGCCUGUUCGAGCGUCAUUUCACCACUCAAGCCUCGCUUGGUAUUGGGCAACGCGGUCCGCCGCGUGCCUCAAAUCGUCCGGCUGGGUCUUCUGUCCCCUAAGCGUUGUGGAAACUAUUCGCUAAAGGGUGUUCGGGAGGCUACGCCGUAAAACAACCCCAUUUCUAAGGUUGACCUCGGAUCAGGUAGGGAUACCCGCUGAACUUAAGCAUAUCAAUAAGCGGAGGA
rnacentral:misc_RNA from 1 species